GACGAACGCUGGUGGCGUGCCUAAUACAUGCAAGUCGAGCGGACCAAUAGAAGCUUGCUUCUGUUGGUUAGCGGCGGACGGGUGAGUAACACGUGGGCAACCUGCCUGUAAGACUGGGAUAGCUUCGGGAAACCGGAGCUAAUACCGGAUAGUUCAUCCCCUCGCAUGAGGGGAUGCUGAAAGUCGGUUUACGCUGACACUUACCGAUGGGCCCGCGGCGCGUUAGCUAGUUGGUGAGGUAAUGGCCCACCAAGGCGACGAUGCGUAGCCGACCUGGGAGGGUGAUCGGCCACACUGGGACUGAGACACGGCCCAGACUCCUACGGGAGGCAGCAGUAGGGAAUCUUCCACAAUGGACGAAAGUCUGAUGGAGCAACGCCGCGUGAGCGAUGAAGGCCUUCGGGUCGUAAAGCUCUGUUGUUAGGGAAGAACAAGUAUCGGAGUAACUGCCGGUACCUUGACGGUACCUAACCAGAAAGCCACGGCUAACUACGUGCCAGCCGCCGCAGUAA
rnacentral:rRNA from 1 species